UGCAAAUUUCAUAAUUCAUAAGAAUCUUAUAAAUCCAUUAGCAAGUAUAUAUUUUUAUCAUUAAAAAUUUGACCCUCUUUCUUUAAUUUUAUCUGUUUUAUUAGUGAUUGUUGUAUUUACUUUUAUAAAUUCUAAAUAUAAUAUGUAAUUAGUUGUAUAGUUUCUUAAUAAUAUAAUCAACUUUAAUGUUUAAGAUAAAGUUGUAUCCUUGAAAGAUAUGCUGGUAUUAUUGGCACAAUGGGCAAGCAUUAAAGUGCAACUUAAUGAACUACAAAACACAUUAAAUUCAGUUAUAAAAAUUUGAGUAACAAAGGUCAAUUAUUUGGCACAAAUUGGAGUUAAA